UGGGGGCAAAUGCACAGUCCUCAAAGCAGGGUUUGUUUUACGUGUUCUUUUCCAUUAGUAUAAGGAAACGGAUUGAGAGAUGAGGAGUGAAAAAAACACUGCAAGCUCAUGUAGUGUUGGUUUAACUCUAUAACCGGGGUUUAGCAGCCUCUGUUAGUGUUAUUGCUAUGGCUUACAAUUCCCUUUCAUUGAACGAUUUUAGUCAAUCAUGAAAUUAUUGUGUAUGCAUCUGUGUGCAACCACAGCACUGUCCAUGUACACCCUCAUAAUUCGUAUCCCCUUGUCG